CUGACACCCCGGAGCUGUCCCACAGUGAGUGUGCUUGUUUGGCAUUCGGGACGGGUACUGCACAAGAAAAUUGGUUUGUUGCCGCACCAGCUGCAGACAGUUUCUACGGUGCCUGCCAUUUGUCCUUUCUGUGACUGCUCUGCUCCUGUCCCAGAGACCAGCUUCCUGUCACUCACCCCAGAGCCUUCUCCACAAUCCCUAUUGGGCAGAAUUCAUCACUCCACUCCACCUAACCGUGCAGAUUGCUCAAAUGAUCGCUUUGGUGCAGUGCCGGACGUUGACAGGGGAAUUGGAACAAGCCCUUAUGGAGACAAAGAUGUCAGCCGGGCUCCUUUGAGGAGCUGGGGAGUCUUGAGAACAGACACCAGCCUGUCUCACCCACGGCGAAUCCAGGGCUGACAGAGAGACAGAGCUUCGGCUCCUCCCUGUCUCCGGGCUUUCAGGCCACAAAGGUCUGCAGGGGGACAAAGAAUUCCCACAUGCCUCUGCUGACCCCUCUGAAUCCCAGCAUCUCGGGAAGCUGGUGCCAAGAAAAGCCUGGUUUCCACUGCUGUCUCUGCUGGCACCUCUCCAUGGCAACGGUGGCCUCCAGCAAUGGGCUGCUGUCCUUUGAAGACGCCACCAUGAAGCCAGGAACACGGUUUUCCGUUUGGAAAUUUGCAAAUUGUGCCCUGAGGCCACAUACGGAAGACGGCAGUGUUACCAGGCAGAAGAAGGCUGGAUUUCUGAGCUACCAUUUAGAUAUAAGCUACUCAGUCAGGAACCUGCGAUUCAUAUUUUGCAUGGGCAGAAAACAUACUGGGCUUACACUUAGCCCAUGCCGACUAACGCACUCCCUUACCUUUGUCAAACAUUUCUUAGUCCUUGCUGUUUUCCAAGCACUGUGA
rnacentral:lncRNA from 1 species